UUAAAAAACAAGAUGGCGCUACUGCUCCUGCUAACUUGUGUUGUGAUUCCGUGUGACAAGAAAGAUCCGUGUUCGAAUGUUUGUUAACUGUGUUACGUUCCAGUAGAAAAUUCGAAAAAUGGUGUGCUACUGUCUGCCAACUACCAAGUGUUUUUUUUUUCUCUUGUGUUAUGGAAGUAAGGCAGAUCAACUGGAUUAUUUUUCUGGCAUCUUGUCUCAUCUAUGCCAACUGUGAAACCCCAAAACUGUUAGCAACCUAUAGUUGUUGCAUUCCAUUUUGCUAUGAAGUUGCUCACCUAGAGAUUUAGCUCGUGAAACUUGCAUUGCAAAGAAUGAUGACGGGGAAGAAAUGUCACCAAUGAUACAAAUGCUGUGGGAUGGAAUACCAUAAUAUUAUGCUGCUACCCUUAAUACGCUCAUGAUCUUCUGUCAUUUCCACUCUGACUAGUGCAUGAUCAUCAUCAUUUUGUGUAUCCAACUAUAACCACCACCGUUUCAGCAUUCAUCUUACAAUUUCUACUUAGCUGCGAACACACAAACAUAUACGUCAAAAGCAUUUCCUUUGAACUGCCAAGCCUUUGCCUUCAUCUUCAUAACUUCAGGCCCUACAGUCUUUCCAGCAUUUGGACAACAGGCGACUAUGCCUUCUUCCUCAUUCGGAUUCAUCCUCAAUAUUCAAAGUUUUCCCUUCUUCGCUUCAUCGUCGUCCCGUCUUCGCCUCGUCCGUCCAUCGCCUCGUCCGUCCAUCGCCUCGUCCGUCCAUCGCCUCGUCCGUCCA